GGCGUAAGUGCUGCUGCAGGGGGGCUCGGCACCAGGGAAACCUGCUGGGAGCUGGGAGAUCCCAAAUCCCAGAAAUCCCCACUGAGGUGGGGCCGGGAAAUCCCUGAGUGAGGUGGGAAAUGGGAAAUCCCUGAGUGAGGUGGGAAAUGGGAAAUCCCAGAAAUCCCUGACUGAGGUGGGAGAUGGGAAAUCCCAGAAAUCCCUGAGUGAGGUGGGAAAUGGGAAAUCCCUGAGUGAGGUGGGAACUGGGAAAUCCCGGAAAUCCCUGAGUGAGGUGGGGACUGGGAAAUCCCAGGGCUGGGGUGGCUCAGCCGUGCCCCGGGCCCGGGGCAGAGCUCGGGGCGGCCCGGGGCAGAGCUCGGGGCAGAGCUCGGGGCGGGCCGGGGCAGAGCUCGGGGCCGGUCGGGGCAGAGCUCGGGGCGGGCCGGGGCAGAGCUCGGGGCGGGCCGGGGCAGAGCUCGGGGCAGAGCUCGGGGCGGGCCGCGGCUGCCCCGGGCCCUCCUCACGGCCCCGGCCCCGCAGGGACCAGGCGGAGGCGCGGCGCUCCAAGACCAAGGAGGCGCGGAAGCGCCGGGAGGAGCGGCUGCAGGCCAAGAAGGAGGAGAUCAUCAAAACCCUCUCCAAGGAGGAGGAGGCCAAGAAGUGACCGCGGGCUGUCCCCUCCCUCCAAUAAAGCAUCCCGGACAAUUCCCCGGUGUUGUGUC
rnacentral:lncRNA from 1 species